rnacentral:rRNA from 1 species
GACGAACGCUGGCGGCGUGCUUAACACGUGCAAGUCGAACGAGAUCCAUGGUGUAGCAAUACACCGGAAGAUCUAGUGGCGAACGGGUGAGGAACACGUGAGAAACCUGCCCCAGACUUUGGGAUAACAAGUGGAAACGCUUGCUAAUACCGAAUGACGUCGGAGAACCGCAUGGUUCACUGACGAAAGGAAUUCCGGUUUGGGAGGGUCUCGCGGCCUAUCAGCUUGUUGGUGGGGUAAUGGCCUACCAAGGCAACGACGGGUAGCUGGUCUGAGAGGAUGAUCAGCCACACUGGGACUGGGACACGGCCCAGACUCCUACGGGAGGCAGCAGUGGGGAAUCUUGCGCAAUGGGCGAAAGCCUGACGCAGCAACGCCGCGUGCGGGAUGAAGGCCUUCGGGCUGUAAACCGCUUUCAGUUAGGACGAAGCUUUAUUGGUUAAUAACCAAUUGGAGUGACGGUACUUUCAGAAGAAGCCCCGGCUAA